GAGCCUCUCCCCGAUUCUCUCUUCCUCUCCGACCUCUUCACCUUCUUCCGGCCAUAACUCCUCCAUCCGGCGACGGAUUUUGACGUGUAAGAUGUCGUUGGAAAGCUCUCUUCCUUCUCUUCAUUUCUGGGUUCGUUUCGUAGCUUAAUAUGAACUGUGGAAGGUGCAGCAACGAGAAGAAGAGGACGGUCACUGUAGCAGUUUUGAGUCAACGCCGAUAUUUUCCGAUUCCGGCAGUCUCCGGCCACCAAAUUGGCGUCGAAGGGUUCUUGGAAUUUCUGGAAAUUUUUCACCGGCCAAAUUGGAGCUCUUCCAGGGCAAUGCCGCGAGCUACGGUUAAAUGAAGGAACUCGUUUGCGUGGUCGCCCAAUAGUACUUUUGCAGGCAAAAUUAGUUGAGGUCGGGCGUACAUGGAGUCGAGGCAUAGCCAACAGCAUUGCGUCCGCGUACUCAUUCUAUUUCUGUUUUCUUUGUUACCUAGUGGAUUAGUAUUGCUCUGAUAACCUAUGGGAUUAAUAUUGUUUUUGGGUUGAGACUGAUAUUUGUGAAAUUGGAGUUGUGAUUUGGGGAGCAGAUGGCUCCAGAAGAUUAAGGAUUGAUGAUUUAGAAGUGUAAAUGUUUUCCUACAGGUUUUGGGUAGCCUAAUUUUAGGGGAAGUUCCGCCAAAUUUUUGGUAGAAUCUCUUCUAAAGUGGGCCCCGCAGGGCCACUUCGGAUUUCAGGGUGAAAUCUGGGGCGGGUCCUGUCAGUACCUGUAUUCAUACUGUUGUAGGGGUGAGCUUUCGUCCUCGCUGCUCAACAGAAACUCUAACUCGACUAGGUUUGAAAAUCAACAGAUAAGUGUUUGGAGCUCUAGUAUGAAAACAUACUUAAACCAAUUAUUUAAAGGAACGACAAACUUUUAAAAACCCGAUGCAUGAUUAGAAAACUACGUGCGCUUUACCUGAUGG